GGGCGGAUGGCGUAAUUGUUAGACGCACCACACUCAAAAUGUUGCGACCUAACGGUCUUGAGAGUUCGAGUCUCUCCCCGCCCA
rnacentral:tRNA from 1 species